CAGGACCUGAGGAACGGAGGGACUCGCAUGCAGGGACACGGUGGAGUUAAAUGGCUUGCUUAUUUCACUCACACACUUAUAUUACAUUAUAAUUGUAAUAGUUGCUUUAUGAUUUAUAUAUUGUAGAAACACAGUUAGAUAUAUACCUUAUCGUAAUGUGGGGAUCUCUAGCCCAUUGACUGACAUGCCCUGUAACUUAAUUUAGCCUGAGAUAAAUCACUACUACAUGUUUCAGCCUAAAACUCAUGAGCAAAACUUACAAUUGUAUUGAACAGUCU